rnacentral:rRNA from 1 species
CCUACGGGUGGCAGCAGUGAGGAAUAUUGGUCAAUGGGCGCAAGCCUGAACCAGCCAAGUCGCGUGAAGGAUGACUGCCCUACGGGUUGUAAACUUCUUUUAUAAAGGAAUAAAGUGCGACACGUGUGCCUUUUUGUAUGUACUUUAUGAAUAAGGAUCGGCUAACUCCGUGCCAGCAGCCGCGGUAAUACGGGGGAUCCAUGCGUUAUCCGGAUGUAUUGGGGUUAAAGGGAGCGUCGAUGGGUUGUUAAGUCAGUUGUGAAAGUUUGGGGCUCAACCGGGAAAUUGCAUUUGAUACUGGCAGGCUAGAGGAUAGUUGAGGUAGGCGGAAUGCGUGGUGUAGCGGUGAAAUGCUUAGAGAUCACGAAGAACUCCGAUUGCGAAGGCAGCCUACUAAACUGCAACUGACAUUGAGGCUCGAAAGUGUGGGUAUCAAACAGGAUUAGAUACCCUUGUAGUC